rnacentral:snoRNA from 1 species
ACCCGCUCCGUUCCUUACCCAUCCGACCUACACAUUGAUCUGAGUGGCUGUAAAAGGAGGAAAAGGAAAAGUGAAAAUGAUGUGGAUUCUUUUACUUCAAGUAAAAAUAAAUUAAUAAAAG